AUCAUUGAGGAAAAAGGAUAUCUGCCUGAACAGAUCUUUAAUGCAGGUGAAAGUGCUCUAUUCUGCAGCGGGGGUUGGGGGUGGGGAAGCCACAAAGGACAUUUUUUUAGUAAGGAAGAGCACCAAGCACCAAAAUUUAAGGCAGGGAUGGGUAAGCUAAGUUUACUGUUUUGUGCAAAUGCAGAGAGGGGUUUAUGAUCGGGACUGUCUUUACCUAUAAAGCCGCUGACCCCUAAGCCUUGAGGGGAAAAGAUAAACAUCAACUGCUAUUUUGAUUGUACAACAAGGCCUAGACAAAGAGAACUCUUCCUGGUUUGGUUCCACCAAUGCUUUGUCCCUGAAGUCAGGAAGUACCUUGCCAGUAAAGGACCUUCUUUUAAAGUUCUUUUGAUAUUGGACAAUGCCUGUGGCCACCCAGAACUUCAUGAGUUCAACACUGAAGGCGUGGAGGUGGUCUGCUUGCCUCCAGAUAACAUCUCUAAUUCAGCCUCCAGAUCAGGGUACGAUAAAGACCUUUAAGACUCAUUACACAUGGUACUCAAUGGAAAGGAUUGUCAGUGCUAUGGAAGAGAACCCUGAUAGAACAUCAUGAAAGUCUAGAAAGAUUACACCAUUGAAGAUGCCCUUGUUGUUACAGAAAAAGCCGUGAAAGCCAUCAAAUACAAAAUAAUAAAUUUCUGCUGGAGAAAACUCCAGAUGUUGCACAUGACUUCACAGGAUUUAUGACAGAGCUAAUCAAGGAAAUCAUGAGAUUGUGGAUAUGGCAAAAAAAAAAAAGGGGGGGGGAUGAAGGAUUACAAGGUGUGGCUCUUGGACAAAUUCAAGAGGUAUUAAGCACCACACUAGAAGUAUUAACAGAAGAUAACUUGAUGGAGAUGAGUGCUUCCAAACCAGCGCCAGAUGAUGAGGAAGACAAGGAAGCAGUGCCAGAAAACAAGUUGACUUUACACAGUCUGGCAGAGUGAUUCGGAUUAUUCAAGACUGAUUUUGACUUCUUUUACAGUAUGGACCCUUCUGUGAUAUGGGCACUAAAACUAAAGCAUAAGGUAGAAUAAGAAUUGGUACUAUAUGGAAACAUUCUUAAAGAAAUGAAAAAGGAAAAAUGUCAGAAAAGUACAAUGUUUUUUGGUAAAGUUAAACCAAGUGUGCCUGCUUCUCUUCCCUCUCCUUCCACCUCCUCCACCUCUGAGACUGCAAGACCAACCCCUCCUCUUCCUCCUCCUCAGUCUGUUCCAAAUGUGAGAUGACAAAGAUGAAGACCUUUAUGAUGAUCCACUUCUACUUAAUGAACAGAUCAUUUUACUUCUCCAGAUGAAUAUGAUGACCCUACUGUGCUCUAUGAAGCCAUAGUAUCUCAUGAGAAGAACCUCGUAAUAGCCCAUGAAGGGGACCCUGCAUGGCGGAGUGCAGUACUUGCCAACUCUCCCUCCUUGCUUGCUCUGCGGCAUGUCAUGGAUGAUGGCACCAAUGAAUAUAAAAUCAUCAUGCUCAACAGACGCUACCUGAGCUUCAGGGUCAUUAAAGUGAAUAAGGAAUGUGUCCGAGGUCUUUGGGCAGGGCAACAGCAGGAGCUUGUUUUUCUACGUAACCGUAACCCAGAGAGAGGUAGCAUCCAAAAUGCAAAGCAAGCCCUGAGAAACAUGAUAAACUCAUCUUGUGAUCAACCUAUUGGCUACCCAAUCUUUGUCUCACCCCUGACAACUUCUUACUCUGACAGCCACGAACAGCUUAAAGACAUUCUUGGGGGUCCUAUCAGCUUGGGAAAUAUCAGGAACUUCAUAGUGUCAACCUGGCACAGGCUUAGGAAAGGUUGCGGAGCUGGAUGUAACAGUGGUGGCAAUAUUGAAGAUUCUGAUACUGGAGGUGGGACUUCCUGCACUGGUAACAAUGCAACAACUGCCAACAAUCCCCACAGCAACGUGACCCAGGGAAGCAUUGGAAAUCCUGGGCAGGGAUCAGGAACUGGACUCCACCCACCUGUCACAUCUUAUCCUCCAACACUAGGCACUAGCCACAGCUCUCACUCUGUGCAGUCGGGCCUGGUCAGACAGUCUCCUGCCCGGGCCUCAGUAGCCAGCCAGUCUUCCUACUGCUAUAGCAGCCGGCAUUCAUCCCUCCGGAUGUCCACCACUGGGUUUGUGCCUUGUCGGCGCUCUUCUACUAGUCAGAUAUCGCUUCGAAACUUGCCAUCAUCCAUCCAAUCCCGACUGUCGAUGGUGAACCAAAUGGAACCCUCAGGUCAGAGCGGCCUGGCCUGUGUGCAGCACGGCCUGCCUUCCUCCAGCAGCUCCAGCCAAAGCAUCCCAGCCUGCAAACAUCACACUCUCGUGGGCUUUCUUGCGACAGAGGGAGGUCAGAGCAGUGCCACUGAUGCACAGCCAGGCAACACCUUAAGUCCUGCCAACAAUUCACACUCCAGAAAGGCAGAAGUGAUUUACAGAGUCCAAAUUGUGGAUCCCAGUCAAAUUCUGGAAGGGAUCAACCUGUCUAAAAGGAAAGAGCUACAGUGGCCUGAUGAAGGAAUCCGGUUAAAAGCUGGGAGAAAUAGCUGGAAAGACUGGAGUCCGCAGGAGGGCAUGGAAGGCCAUGUGAUUCACCGAUGGGUGCCUUGCAGCAGAGAUCCAGGUACUAGAUCCCACAUCGACAAGGCAGUGCUUCUGGUCCAGAUUGAUGAUAAAUAUGUGACUGUAAUUGAAACUGGGGUACUAGAACUUGGGGCUGAAGUGUGAGCCAGUGUUUAUUAUAAAGACAUUUCUUUUUCCCUCUCAAUUCCAAGGCAUUGGAAAAAGAGAGGAACGAGCAGAAGAUGCCUGCAGGUAUCACUUUGAUCCUAUGUGGGAGCGACUGAAAAUAGAAUGAGCUUGGUUAAGCACCUCUCCUUUGCCCUUCACCCUGACUCCUGUCACUGUCUCCAUCCCCAAAUAAAGCUGAAAUAUUUUUUU
rnacentral:sRNA from 1 species